UCCCCUUGUACCUGCCUCUUCUCAGAACACCUCCUAAGGCUCCUUCAGAGACAGACUCUUUCUUGAGGUCUGUUGCGGACUCCUGGCCGCCAUCUAGGAGUUACAUACAGAGCAGCCAGCAAUGGAAAGGGAGGGCCACACUGCGAAGCCACUGCCAUCAAGGUCCCGUUGCCAGCCGCAAUGCAGCCUGGACACUAAAAUGCCUUAGCACCCGAUCCUGGUGCUCCACCACCAGGAGUAGCAGUGUUCUCCCUGGCACUAUGGAAGGAGAGGGAAAGGCCAUCACAGCCGGGAACAAGCAAUACCAGGUUGUGACCCAG